GCUGUUCGCCAUUUAAAGUGGUACGCGAGCUGGGUUUAGAACGUCGUGAGACAGUUCGGUCCCUAUCUGCCGUGGGCGCUGGAGAACUGAGGGGGGCUGCUCCUAGUACGAGAGGACCGGAGUGGACGCAUCACUGGUGUUCGGGUUGUCAUGCCAAUGGCACUGCCCGGUAGCUAAAUGCGGAAGAGAUAAGUGCUGAAAGCAUCUAAGCACGAAACUUGCCCCGAGAUGAGUUCUCCCUGAGACUUARAGUCUCCUGAAGGAACGUUGAAGACGACGACGUUGAUAGGCCGGGUGUGUAAGCGCAGCGAUGCGUUGAGCUAACCGGUACUAAUGAACCGUGAGGCUUAACCUU
rnacentral:rRNA from 1 species